UCCCUGGUGGUCCAGUGGUUAGGACUUGGCGCUUUCACUGCCAAGGGCCCAGGUUCAAUCCCUGGUCAGGGAA
rnacentral:tRNA from 1 species